GUGGCCGCGUGCGCGCCGUCGGGUGCCAUUCGGUGCGCGCGUCCUUAUGAAAGCGCUUCCGCGCUUGGAAAGGGCGCGUUCCUGUUGCGAACGGACCGAAGUACUUUUCUGGGCGACUUCUGGCGGUGCUCAGUACGAACGGCACCCCGCUUAGCUUUUAGAAGUUGGAUUGCUGUUAGUGCCCCUGUUCUGCUUCAGUCCCUGCUCUCCCCCUGUCCCAGAACGGUCUCGGAGCCCUUCCUUUCCCCCGCUGGGCUUUUCUCGUGCUUCGCUUCCUCUGAGGUUCUAGGCGGGCGCAGCGGCUCGCGGUCCGUCCGUACAGCUGCCGCCUGCGCUGCGUUGGUGUUAGAGCGGGCGAAAGACAGAGCCCAGCGCUCACCGAAGCGAAGUGCAGCUCCUCUCCGCUCUGAUCCUGAGCUCCGCGGUACCUGAUUUGCAUUUUCAUCACUUCGUUCAGGUGACCCAGAUGAGCAAAGAGUAUGACAAAAAGAUUUCCUUUCAUCUGUAUAAAUACUUCAGGAUUGCUUUGCGUAGAAGGAAGACAACAGUUGCAGGUGGAAAGCUUAGUGCUGUCAUUAUCACCACAAGGGAUGGGAGUCAUGAGCUGAAAUGCAUGUGGCUGCAGUCAUCUCAGAUAUUCACCAGUAUCCUGCCCAAGUCUGGAAGGCCAUUUGUGCUACCUGGCAGAAUUGAAGAUGAUGGAAAAUGAGCAGUCCUUUUAGAUCUUACUCUCUGCUGUCAUCUUUGUUUCUUGCACUCUUUUCUUCAUUCUGUGCUGUAGUUGAAUGCAUCUUCAGACUUACUGUGUCAACAGUCAGAUUUGGAGAUCUUUUUGAGACGUGCUGAUGCUGACAUUUUCAAUGAGUAAAGCUGUCCAGAACACUUCAAUACAACGCUCUUCUGGCAGCGCUGCGAGUGGUGCAUCAGUGUAUUGAAUGAAGGCUGAGACAUUAAAAAUAGAGUGUGAGAAAAAAGAAAAAACAUCAACAAGAGCAGCUUUCUCAGCAAGGAAGAUUGGCCUCUACACUGAAAGACCUUUGUCAGUGGCAUAUGCAUUUCAGAGGACUUCCACCUUCUUUGUACAAGCUUGGUGAAAUUCAUCAACACACGCAGCAUCUCUGGUGGUAGAGAAAUAUUGUAGAUUAAGGACGUGACAGUGGAAGCCCUCAUCCUUCAAGCUGAAGACUCCUCCGAGCUCCUCAGCACUAGACAUAAAUUUUUGUAAACAGUUACAAAAUGAAUUAACAGAACCCAAAAGCAUUGGCCCAGAACUUGACCCAAACACAAGCUCAGAGAUUCUCAAUGUUUUUGUACCAGAACUUGUUGGCAAGACUUUCUCUUCCCCUCCCCUUCUGCCUGCCUCCUCUUUCACCUUCUUCCUACCCAUCACUCACUGGCAUUGAUUCCACACUGUUUGUGCCUCUGCUUCUUCCCUGCACAUCUGCUGGCUCUGGCAAAGGCUCCAGGGGUGGCCUCCCUGCCCUUCAAGCCAAGCUCUCAGCUCCUUCACAUCUCUAUAAGUACACAAUUAUUAACACCGCAAGAUGAUUCUUCCUCAUCUAUCACUUCAAGUCAUUGGGGCAUAAAGAAUGGCUAGCAGACUGGGUCAGCUCCAAGGACACUGACAUGUCCUCUGACUUGUGCAAUACUGAAUUAAUAUUUUUACCUUGUGGAGUGGUCAAUGUCACAGCCCUUUUCAUUCUCAUUUCUUCUGAUUUGAGAACAGAGCAUAUUUGAGGAUAGAUACUGUGGUACUUGUAACCAGAUGAGGAGCAGACAUAGAACUGCUCUACCUUUGCAUGCCUUGGUUUUAAGGAUCGCCACUUACGAUUGUUAAAUGUAGGUCAGACAUUCUGCCAUACUCUUCUUCACUUCUUAAGUAACUGUUCGUGUGUCUGAUGUUUAUGGAAUGCAGUGGAACUAUCAGUGUAUCAGAAACUACCAGUGGAGAUGGGCUGAGGCACCAAGAUCAGACAGAGCUUUUACCUCUGUAGGCCCAUGACCAUGACUAUCCAGAGAACAGUAUAGAGCUGGAUUGUUCAAGGUAAGCCACACGAACAGGUCUGAACUCCUAGGUUUCAGUAUAGCAAUAUACUGCUCUGUGCAAUGUUCACAUACAGCCAAUAUGAACCAAGGGACUGAAUUAAACCUAGUUUUGACAGAUAGCUAUUACUCCAUUUUUGUUGCUUAUUGAUAAAAAGGGACCUGCCAAUCUAUUUUAGAUUCUGGACCUACAGAAUAUGGACUGUAAUAUCUUAUAUUCUAUCGUGUUGGGUUUUGUUUGUUUGUUUUUAAUUACCCAUCUUAUUAAACUAGAAGCUGUAGUUUCUAUUUUGUACAAAAGAUAAAUUGGAGAUGGCAUGGAGCAGUGGAAGAGCAAAAGCCUUUAGACACUCUCCAAAAUUAGAGUUUGUGAAAUACUUUCCAAACAUCUGCAUGAGCAGUACUAUAUCAGCUUUCCAGCUGACUGCUUAAAAAAGAAGUCCUUUAAUCUAAACCAUGUUCCCUUGGAUUUCCUAAUGUAAUUAAUUCUUCAUCUUCUUUUUAUAUUUUGCCAGUGAGAAAUGGAUUAGCGGUAGUUACCACUGAAUCCUUUCCACUGUUUCUUUCAAUUUUGGCAUGAUGUUGUAGGUUUUCAUUGCAUGGGGAUCUCCUCAAACAAAGGAAAAUUGUGAAACUGUCAGAUCAGAUUUCAUGUAUUGCUCUUGGCAUUACAUUCACUAGACCCAGUACACAGUGAAUUUUGAAAGCCUCUGAUCUUUUAUAACCAUUUCCAGUCUUAUACAUACAUUUUAAGUUCCUCAUCUGCAGUCACUGGGAAUAUGAUUAUUAAAACUGAGGUAAUUUGGAUAUUUUCUUUCUGUAAAGAUAUAUAGAGUUAUCCAUUACACCAUUAAUCAUUACCAAUAUUUCAUUAACCUUUCUGCUACACUUCUCAUUAUUUUAUUAAUACUGUCUUGGUGUUUUUUUCUCUCACUUUUUUCAAAUUUCUGCUUUGGUUAUAUAAUAUGGUAGAGCUUAUAAUCAAGGUUCUUAGAUGGAGGAAUAGGAUAAUUUAAUUUAAUUUAUUUUCAUCACCUUCAGUUUUUAAGUCAGAUUAAUGCUUCCUUUUAUUAUUUUUUUUACUUUGUGGUUUUCUAAAGUGUUAUUUUAUCUCCAAGAAUCUUUGGUUUAAUACAUUUAUGUGCUUAUGUAAAUAGAAAAAAUGUUAAAAACUAUUUCAACAAAAAAGGACAUUGCAUUUUUAUAUAUCUCUGACGUAUAAGUUGGGAUAAAAUCAGUGGUUUUUUGGCUACUUUGGAGGGCAAAGUUAAGGCUUCUCAAGUAUUGAUCAGAAGGUGUGUUUAAGGGAAUGAACACUGACAAUGGGUUAGAGUUUUGAGCUUCUCUUAGCACUUUUAGCACAGUAAAUAUUUUCCUCCCUGACUUCUGUGUUGAUCUAGAGGCCUAACAAUCAUACAUUAGCACCUUAAUUUUUAUCAUCUUUUGGACUGGGGUAUGUGUGAUUUCUCUGCACCAUAGUGUUCCUCAUCAAUUCAAAGAAAUCAAUCAAACUGAGGCUAUGUUGACCUUUUGAGGCUUAAAUAGAAGAUCGCUCGACAAAACUCUCAAAGUUUGUUAUUGUAUUGAUUCCUUUGGCCAACUCAAUAGGCCAGAGCUGAAAGAAUGAGUCUCAACAACUUGGGGUAUGGUCUAGCUUAAGUGAAAAGGCUAGGCUUGCUGGAGAACGUGAACAGACAGAAAUCCCUUGUUAUUGUGGGAUCAUAGCUCAGCUGUUUGUUUGAGAAAGCAAUCAGACAUGACUUCUUUUGGAAAAGAAUAAGUUUUCUGGAACAAUUGGCUGAGAUGAUAGAUUAUUCAGAUGUCUUCUGAAAGCAAACAAAACAUUUUAUCUUCAAUGCUUAUAUUGUAAACAACUUGCCCUCACUUCUGAGUCCUCACCGUUAUUUCUGUCAUGCAUACAAGCACUUUGAUUUUAAUGGGAGAGUUUUUGUAAAUGUGGCUUAAACUUCUGAUCUUCUGUUCUUAACUGUACAGACCAUAGACAAGUCAGCACAGAAUAUCUGUGUCCAUUUGUUGUGAUUAUGGUGGACAGUUAUUGCAGCAGUCAUAUUUAGGAGAUUAGUAACUUUCCUAGAUGGGUUAUUUCUAUUCUGUUUUUAAUUCCUUCCUAUUUUUCUUUCUAGACCUACUUGUCUAUCAGUAUGAAUCUGCACCCCAAUACUAUAUGAAACAUCAGUUUGUUUCUAUUUUUCUGCACUUUGUUUCUGAUGUACUAUUCAAAUUCCAUUUGUUUUUCCUAGCUGAGAUGAAAGCCCGUCUUUGUCUUCAUACCAAAUGUUGGCUUUCUAGCUCUGUGUGUCUUUUGACUGAUCCUGUUAUCAGUGCCAUAUCCCAAUCUUUUGAAAUUUCAGAUAGUAUAUUCAGGUCACACAUUAAUGUGGCUGCUUUUAUUUAUCUCUGUACAGCAUGCGUAACUGACAUUAUAUCUGCCAUCUUUCUUUGCGAACUGCUCUGCAUGAGGCAUGAGUAGAAUUUUCUUCAUUUUCUAUCUUCACAUUAAGCAUUUCUACCUCUGUUUCCUGUUUUUUAUCAGAUUACUAUUUCUUCUCUGCAUACUGAAAUACCAUCGUGUUUCAGUUUGAGUAAGCUGGUGUUAUCCUUCCAAAGCAAAAAAAAAUCUUCUCUAACACAGUUGUACCUCAAGAGUGUGGUUGGGUUGAGCUGGAACAUGUCAGAAACAAAUCCUUCUCAAGCCAUCAGGGAAUAAUUCCUCAUGGAUCCUUCUCUUAACUUAGAGUCUGUUUCUUACUUCAGAAAAAUUCCAAAUUUAGCUCAGCUAUAUUUUUCUGCAAAGGGAAGAUAUGUGUAAUGUCUCUGAGAGCAGGACAUUGAGACAUUUUCUCUUAAUGAAGUCUGUGGAGAGUGUUGCCUUUCCUGAUCUUAACAACAAGCAUGUUGUUAAAACAGAAACUCUGCAAAUCAUUAUCUAGUUUUAUUUUUCUUUCAAAGAAGGUAAAAACAACCAGACAAAACAAAACAAAAAAAUCUGAUCAAAAUGUCCAUCCAACAAUAUCUAAAAAGAAACUGUUAGAUGGAUUGUUUUCUUCUGUAACAACAAUGACCAAUUAAGGAAACUCAUGCAUUAGCUUUUUGAUUCUCAGAGAAGAAACUCUAUAAUCUAAGAAAUGUUUUAGAUUUAGAAAAUUUGUAUAGAACAAAAGUUAAUGCUCAGAUUGGGCUUCCAUGGUAUGCAUAUGCCAGCUUUAGCACUCUGCAUUAAAUUUUUGUAUCUGAAAAGUAGUUUUUGGAAGCAAAUAUCACAGCACUAAAUAAAGAACAGUGAAGUAAACAGAAAUAUGAUAAGGUUAUCAGUGAGUACAGCCUGAAGGAAAGUAGUCUUUAGUAGGUAGAAAGGAAAGCGUUUUAGGUAGGAGUUCCAGAGCAUCAAACUUCAAGUGAUUUGGGCAGAAAAUCUGUGAGGUUGGCUCACAGUGGUUUACCUCGUGACCAAGCACAUCAGGGAAGCUGCUAUACAGCAUCAAGUUCAGCAUGGAGAUUAUUACACCACUUAACCUUAUCCUUAGGUCAGACCCUCCUAGAUCCAUUUGCUGGCGCUUGGUUUCCUCCCGCUUCCAAAAGCCCUUGAGAUGGUCUGAAAAUAAAGGGCCUGUUUUACUUCAAAUCAUUUAGCAUGGAUCUAGUUUUGAUCUUGUAACCUUUAGCAAAGCAGGGCAGCACAAGAGCAUUGCAACAUUACUGUGGUAUAGAGUAAGUGACUUUGUGUGACACUGGUAACCCUGGUAUUCGAGAUACCAUUUCCUAUUAUCAGGACUUCAAUCAUAUUGCUAGCCGGUAAAGUCAGUAAUUUCAGCUUCCGGAAGUGAAUAUGAUUCUCACAGAAUAAUGACUGAACUUAAUUGUAUUUCAUCUUUAAUGGUUUUUGAGAUUCAUUCACAGGAAAGGAAAGGAAAGGAGAGGAAAGG